rnacentral:rRNA from 1 species
CCUACGGGAUGCUGCAGUGAGGAAUAUUGGUCAAUGGACGAGAGUCUGAACCAGCCAAGUAGCGUGAAGGAUGACUGCCCUAUGGGUUGUAAACUUCUUUUAUAUGGGAAUAAAAUGUUCCACGUGUGGGAUUUUGUAUGUACCAUAUGAAUAAGGAUCGGCUAACUCCGUGCCAGCAGCCGCGGUAAUACGGAGGAUCCGAGCGUUAUCCGGAUUUAUUGGGUUUAAAGGGAGCGUAGGUGGAUUGAUAAGUCAGUUGUGAAAGUUUGCGGCUCAACAGUAAAAUUGCAGUUGAAACUGGCAGUCUAGAGUACAGUAGAGGUAGGCGGAAUGCGUGGUGUAGCGGUGAAAUGCUUAGAUAUCACGAAGAACUCCGAUUGCGAAGGCAGCUCACUGGACUGCAACUGACACUGAGGCUCGAAAGUGUGGGUAUCAAACAGGAUUAGAUACCCCAGUAGUC